UACAGAGGUCUCAAGCGUUGUUCGGAUUCAUUGGGCGUAAAGGGUGCGUAGGCGGCGCGGUAAGUCGGGUGUGAAAUCUCGGAGCUUAACUCCGAAACUGCAUUCGAUACUGCCGUGCUUGAGGACUGGAGAGGAGACUGGAAUUUACGGUGUAGCGGUGAAAUGCGUAGAUAUCGUAAGGAAGACCAGUGGCGAAGGCGGGUCUCUGGACAGAUACUGACACUCAACUACGAAAGCGUGGGGAGCAAACAGG
rnacentral:rRNA from 1 species